rnacentral:ncRNA from 1 species
UACUGUGUUUUGAUUGUACCAGAUGAGUACUAAUAAAGCUUCGGCUUGAAAACCUUACUUGUGAGCUAGGUUUGGUAGCGGAAAUGCUGCUAGAUCUACUUGCUAAUGAUAAUGCUAAUACAUCAAAAUGAUAAAUCGCAUGCAGACGACAUGAAAUGGACGGGGUAUUGUAAGUACUAGAGUAGCCUUUGUUGCUACGAUGUACUGAGAUUAAGCCUUUGUCAUUGAAUUU